rnacentral:tRNA from 1 species
UGGGGGAUCGUCUAACGGCAGGACGCCAGACUCUGGAUCUGGCUAUCUAGGUUCGAAUCCUAGUCCCCCAG